GGGUGCGAUCAUACCAGCAAUAAUGCACCGGAUCCCAUCAGAACUCCGAAGUUAAGCUUGCUUGGGCGAGAGCAGUACUAGGAUGGGUGACCUCUGGGAAGUCCUCGUGUUGCACCCCUC
rnacentral:rRNA from 1 species